CUACUACUCCCUCUGUUCCGAAUUACUUGUCUUAGAUUUCUCUAGAUAUGGAUGUAUCUAGCAUUAAAAUGAGUCUAGAUACACCCGUAUCUAGACAAAUCUGAGACAAGUAAUUUAGAACGGAGGGAGUAGUAG
rnacentral:pre_miRNA from 1 species